GGGAAAGGGAAAAAAGAAGCAGAAGAGAAGAGUCGUGGGAAAUCCUGGAUACAAAGACUGUAAAAAUGUUGGAUACCUAUGGAUUAUGCAUUACAAAUAUACAACAAUUAGAAUGAGCUAAAAUAUUUAAACAACACAAAUAUAUAAUCAUGUCAAUAAUUAUUUAAUAAACAACAAAGAUAAUAAUUGGUAAUUAUAUAAACCAGCUUCUACACUAUAAUACAUAAAUAACAAAUAAACAAAGAUUUUAGGACAUGCCCAUUAUAAAUUAAAUAACUAAA
rnacentral:misc_RNA from 1 species